UACGGAAGGUCCGGGCGUUAUCCGGAUUUAUUGGGUUUAAAGGGAGCGUAGGCUGGUAUUUAAGCGUGACGUGAAAUGUACGGGCUCAACCUGUGCCUUGCGUCGCGAACUGGGUCCCUUGAGUAAUCAGUAGGCGGGCGGAAUUCGUGGUGUAGCGGUGAAAUGCUUAGAUAUCACGAGGAACUCCGAUUGCGAAGGCAGCUCGCUGUUGUUUUACUGACGCUGAAGCUCGAAGGCGCGGGUAUCGAAC
rnacentral:rRNA from 1 species